rnacentral:rRNA from 1 species
AGAGCGAACGCUGGCGGCAGGCCUAACACAUGCAAGUCGAGCGCGUGUAGCAAUACACGAGCGGCAGACGGGAGAGUAACACGUGGGAACGCGCCCUUCGGUUCGGAAUAACUCAGGGAAACUUGAGCUAAUACCGGAUACGCCCUUACGGGGAAAGAUUUAUUGCCGAAGGAACGGCCCGCGUCAGAUUAGCUAGUUGGUGAGGUAACGGCUCACCAAGGCGACGAUCGGUAGCUGGUCUGAGAGGAUGACCAGCCUCACUGGGACUGAGACACGGCCCAGACUCCUACGGGAGGCAGCAGUGGGGAAUAUUGGACAAUGGGCGCAAGCCUGAUCCAGCCAUGCCGCGUGGAUGAUGAAGGCCUUAGGGUUGUAAAGUCCUUUUAACGGGGAAGAUAAUGACGGUACCCGUAGAAUAAGCCCGGCUAACUACGCGCCAGCAGCCGC